UACGGAGGGUGCAAGCGUUACUCGGAAUCACUGGGCGUAAAGAGCGCGUAGGCGGGGUAGUAAGUCAGAUGUGAAAUCCUAUGGCUUAACCAUAGAACUGCAUUUGAAACUACUACUCUAGAGUAUGGGAGAGGUAGGUGGAAUUCUUGGUGUAGGGGUAAAAUCCGUAGAGAUCAAGAGGAAUACUCAUUGCGAAGGCGACCUGCUGGAACAUUACUGACGCUGAUGCGCGAAAGCGUGGGGAGCAAACAGG
rnacentral:rRNA from 1 species